rnacentral:misc_RNA from 1 species
UCCGGGUUGGACCCGGCGGUCCCGCCAGACAUGGUAACUGGCAGCGAGGGUUGCGCUCGUUGCCGGACUUAACCGAACAUUUCACAACACGAGCUGACGACAGCCAUGCAGCACCUGUCUACGAGUCCCCGAAGGGAAGGCCGUAUCUCUACGGAUGUCUCGCGAUGUCAAGACCAGGUAAGGUUCUGCGCGUUGCUUCGAAUUAAACCACAUACUCCACCGCUUGUGCGGGCCCCCGUCAAUUCCUUUGAGUUUUAGUCUUGCGACCGUACUUCCCAGGCGGGACACUUAAUGCGUUAGCUUCGCCACUCAAAGGGUUAAUGCUUCGAACGGCUAGUGUCCAUCGUUUACGGUGCGGACUAC